AUAUGACUUAGUGGCGGACGGGUGAGUAACGCGUGAGGAACCUGCCUUUCAGAGAGGGACAACAGUUGGAAACGACUGCUAAUACCGCAUGACACAUAGGUGUCGCAUGGCACUUAUGUCAAAGAUUUAUCGCUUCAAGAUGGCCUCGCGUCUGAUUAGCUGGUUGGUGAGGUAACGGCCCACCAAGGCGACGAUCAGUAGCCGGACUGAGAGGUUGAACAGCCACAUUGGGACUGAGAUACGGCCCAGACUCC
rnacentral:rRNA from 1 species